rnacentral:lncRNA from 11 species
UGUGCAGCCUGCAAGAAGGAGGAUGGAAAUACUUGAAAUUACCCAAAUGGAUUCUAGUUUUCUCCAGGCCUUCCCAUCUCUAUGUAGAACACUUACUCCAACCAGCCAGAAUCCGACUGUCAACCAUUGGCCAGAGGACCUUUUCAUCAGAGUAGCUCCGACAGCUAGAUGAGCUGUCAGAAUUUUAAACACAAUUGAAGACCCAUCUCUUCCAGCAGGCCUACCCAGUCAACUUUCAAUCAUGACUUUUGAUUUACAUUCUAUUGCUACUAUAUGUCAAGUCUGUAUCUGUGUUUGGUGCAAGUUUUU